rnacentral:rRNA from 1 species
AACGUAGGACACAAGCGUUAUCCGGAGUUACUGGGCGUAAAGGGCGUGUAGGCGGAGGUGUAAGUCUAUUCUGAAAGCUCCUGGCUAAACUGGGAGAGGCGAGUGGAGACUGCAUGUCUAGAGUGAGGAAGAGGAAAGUGGAAUUCCGCGUGUAGUGGUGAAAUGCGUAGAGAUGCGGAGGAACACCAGUGGCGAAGGCGACUUCCUGGCCUGUUCUUGACGCUGAGGCGCGAAAGCUAGGGUAGCAAACGGG